rnacentral:rRNA from 1 species
GACGAACGCUGGCGGCGUGCCUAACACAUGCAAGUCGAGCGAAUGAAGUUCCUUCGGGAAUGGAUUUAGCGGCGGACGGGUGAGUAACACGUGGGCAACCUGCCUCAUAGAGGGGAAUAGCCUUCCGAAAGGGAGAUUACUACCGCAUAAGAUUGUAAUACCGCAUGAUACAGCAAUUAAAGGAGCAAUCCGCUAUGAGAGGGGCCCGCGGCGCAUUAGGUAGUUGGUGAGGUAAUGGCGCACCAAGGCGACGAUGCGGGGCCGACCUGAGAGGGGGACAGGCCAGAUUGGGACUGAGACACGGCCCAGACUCCGAGGGGAGGCAGAAGUGGGGAGUAUUGCACAGUGGGGGAAACCCUGAUGCAGCAACGCCGCGUGAGUGAUGACGGCCUUCGGGUUGUAAAGCUCUGUCUUCAGGGACGAUAAUGACGGUACCUGAGGAGGAAGCCACGGCUAACUACGUGCCAGCAGCCGCCGUAAAAC